GUGCUUGAUAACGCGCGUCGCACGACAUCGAUCACGAGCGUCGACGCGACGCGAGAAUCCGGCAAGAGUGAUCCGGACCGUCGUCUCCUAUUUGUUUUCCGACAACGAACGUGCAUUGCGACCGAGCCGAGUUUUUUCCGGGCCGUUUCACCGCGCGUCAUCGUUCGCACGCGGAAAUUCGUGCCGAGACGGCGCCGAUCCCGAAGCCGAACGAGCGAAGCGAAUUUCGUUUGUUCGCGAUCCGUCCGAGAGAUAUCGGCGAGCAAGAAGUCUACAAGUCGAAUGUAAAAUGGCAGGUCAAAAGAUACUUAUGCAUACAUGUAUCGCGUACAUGUAUGUUUCGAAACGUGGGAACGGGAUCGUGGAAACUGGAUUAAAUUAUUCCCACGAUGAUUCAUAAGAACAGCAUUAAUUUCAUCUACGCCUGUGAUAUUGAUAAUUUCUGAUAUGCUGUCUAGUAUAUCAGUUACACUAGUUAUCCUUUACUGAUUAAUGACCGCUUCUGUUGAAAACAACCAUAAAGAUUCUUUUCAUUAAGGGGGAACAGUCUUAUCUCUCACUCAUUGUUUGAAUAGUGAUAAAGAGAUAUUAACGUUGUCUUCCCACAGCUGCUGGUAAUGCAAAUACCCUUCCUCGACCUGAAGUCUGUGAAAUGGUGCUCGUCGUCCAGUUCCAAUUUUAGCUGAGAAUAAUAUAGAAAUGUGAGCAGUGACUGCUAUUCACAAAUGGCACAGAGCAUUCACUUUUACAUCAUUUAUGAAUAAAAACGAAAUUGGUCCAGCUUGGUGGUAAUGCGGGGAUGUGGAUCUGCUUCGACCCGAUAGGAAGCCGAGUAGGCUUGGGUACCUCCGUCUCAUUCAUCGCGCUUCUGUACUGGAGCUCCAUCACCAUCGAUGUCAGUCUAGCGAAUGCGGCGGCGUCCAAUGUCCCCCAUAGUACCGUCACGUCGGAGGUAUCGUCGGUACCGACACCAGCGUCGGCACACCACGAGAACGACGAAUGCAGGAAUGUGACCACUGACAAUAGAGAGGGUACUGGACUGUCAGUGGUCAGCCAUGGAUCCGGUUAUCCUCAUUCGCCGAUAGUGCCUCCAACCUUUCUGUACGGAGCUCUUACCUGCCAACCCUAUCAAGGAAUUUACGUGAACCACAUCUACUUUCAACUCGCAAAUGCCUUCUUCCUAUUGUCACACCUUGCACCGAGCGGCAUACAUGGUGUACUCUAUUUAAGGUGCACUCUACUCGUGGGCUGUGCCUUUCUUGCUUUGUGGGGCUGGACAAUAGCUUGCUGGCUGGACGCUGCUCUCUGGAAUGCUCUCUUUGUUGCCAUCAACUUCGUCCAUGUAUGCACGCUUCUUUACAAGCUCAGGCCUAUCAAGUUUACAAGGGAAAUCGAAGAGGUAUACGUUGCAGUAUUCCAGCCAUUGCGGGUGUCCCGUCAUCAAUUCAGAAGAGUAUUAAAUUGCAUGAAGGUCAUUCGUCAGUUAAAAUAUCAAGAAGUUUAUGCACAAGAAAAAGUGACCAAAGUCGAUUCAUUAUCGUUGGUGCUGUCAGGAAAGCUAGUUGUCUCACAAAAUGGGAGAGCAUUGCAUAUUGUCUUCCCACAUCAGUUCCUGGAUUCCCCGGAAUGGUUUGGCGUCUCGACAGACGAGUACUUCCAGGUAUCAAUAACAGCUAUGGAAGAGUCAAGGAUAUUAUUAUGGCAUAGGGACAAACUAAAAUUAAGCAUAAUUAGCGAUCAAUUCCUGCAGGCAGUGUUUGAUCACAUUCUCGGCAGAGACGUAGUUAAAAAAUUGAUGCAGGUGAGCGAAACGAUGGCUGCGAGCAGUCAUCAUCAACAGAAUGGACAGAUAAUUGGUCUAGGUGGAAUUGGAGCCUUAGAAAACGACGCUGAUACGAAACUUUUUGUUGUAAAAAAGACUGGUGACAGUCAAGGCAUUACUGCUCUCAUCAGUCGUCAACUUCAAGAAGAGAGAAUGCCGCUGCUGUACACGAAUCAAGAAGUGCUGAACAAUACUUUACACCAUACGAAUCGCCCACGUGUACCAUCCUGUACAUUUUCCCCACACCCUAUGUCGUGCAACGUUCAGACUUCGCUGUAAAAUUCUUGCCUGCCGAUUGUGCAAUGCUCUAGCACAAAAUCCGUAUGUGGUGUACAUGUUAUGUUCCUGCAAUGGAUGCGUAUACAUUACACAAAUGUCACAGAAUCGUUCACUGUUUUUUUCUGGGUAUUAUAUCGAGCGGCAGGGGAUCCAAAUGCUUGGAGAUUGGGAAGAAUCGAAGAGACUGAUCACGAAACACCCGUUUAAUGGAAUGAUUGUUGUAAAUCGAUGUCAUCCUCGGGAGUCAAUAUAAAUGCAACACCGGUGUUUUUACAUAACGCGAUUAUACGGGGCAAGCUGAUAUUCAUUGUGACUAAAAAAACCAUGGCACGUUGAAAGUGUGCGCGGAACAAUUGAACAUCCACUUGCCAAGUAAUAAUUUUCCCAAUGACUAGUCAACUGUAUGCGAUAAUAAGAUGAAAUUCCAUCAUUUUGUAGCAUAUAAUGAAUUCCAUUCUAGUUUAUAAAGUAUAAGUAACAAUCAUUUAUGCUUCCAUCGUACUGUUGAAUAUGCUUGCGCAUGUUGAAUUUAAGAACUGGCUAUUUAUGAUUUACUUUGAUAAAAAAGAAAAGAAAAAAAAUCGGUAUGUUCCAUGAUGAAUGAAUAAUGGAUCAAGACUUUACAAGUAUACAAGGUAUAAUGAAAUGAGGGUGACACGUUCGCAGCGGCGUAACUUCUGUCAAUGCGAGGUCUGUGAUGUGAUGAUGAGGGACUUUGAUAGAAAUCAGGGAGGCCUAAAGAAGCUGAUUCUUUCCCAUACCCAGAAAUAGUGCCUUUUUACUUACACUUCCUUUAAUGUUUCCAUGGUGAAAAUAUGUACAGUACUAUGAUAUGCGCCAUAUGACUUAUAUAUACAUAUAUACACAUAUAUUUAUCCAAUGUAUUCUAGUAGAGUUCUCCUAAUAUCGCUGUAUUACGUGUUUGAAGGUCCAUGUUGUGAUACUGUUAAGCAACCGGUGUUCACCAAGUCAAAGAGGCACGCGAAGUUACGCCAUUAUUAAAAACAGACGCAUUGGAUGUCAUAAAAGCGCGAUGUAAAGAAUACUGUUGCGAAACUCAUAUCGCUACAUUGCUGCUAAGUACGUCGAAUUGCGUGUACGACUUUCGAUACUUAACACGAUGAAAAGAUGAUUAUACAAGUUGCUACAAUGAUAUUGUGAUUACGAUCGUGGUGCGUUUAUUGAAAAUGUCACGUUAAUUGUUUUAUUAUUAUUAUUAUUAUUAUUAUUAUUGUUCUGUUUUGUUUGCGAACGGUGCGCAUGCUAACGAUUAUUUUGUAUAAUUAAAUAAGUGAAAGUAAAUAUUUUAAGACAUUAUAUAAAGCAAAUCGAAGGUAAUUAAUCGAAAAAAAGGUCAAUAACUUCUCUCGAUUAUGAUCGAGAAGAUCGAAGAAUAGUAGUUGAAAUAAUGGAGCUUAAUGCAGAAGUCGCAGGUUUCACGAUUAAAAUAUCUCAUUGAUUAAAUUGUCGCAGGUAUAAUCCCUUUGGAAAGAACUUUGUUCAAUUUUCAGAAAUAUCGCAUUGAAGAUUAUAUAGAGAAUCGUUGCUAUAUCGAUAUCAUAUUCACUUAAGGUUGUAAUACAUACUUUAAGGAAACUUUUUAUAUGUAAAAUCAUCAUUCUGAGCAUACGUGUCUGUGCAUUCUAUUUCGGGUUUCGCCGAUAGUUUUACAUAAUUGUUUUCUGUUACGACACACACACACACACGUAUGUGUCGCACGUCCAGAACAAUUUUUACGUACUGGGAAUAUCAUUUUACGUAAGCAAAGUACCGAAACGUAGGAAUCCCUUUUGAUAUGUAUAAGCAACGGAAUGCAGGACCAUAAGAUUUAAAACACCUUUUGCAUACACGCGAUCCGUACGUAAAGAAAUAAGUGUAUUAUUACUCUUCAUGAAUGUGAAUUAUAUGUUACUGAAUCUUUGUUGUUUACCAUCUCUUAUUGUUGUUAUAAUUAUUUUUGUACGUGAGAUUGUUUGUAGUAUAUAUAUAUACACACAUAUAUGUAGUUAGGGAUAAAAUGAGUGGCUGAUGAGAUGGAGGUAAUUUAAAUCACAUUGGAUACAAUAAGAAUGAGUAUAAAGUGGCAGCGCGAAUAAAAAAAGUUAGUUUUAGA